rnacentral:lncRNA from 1 species
AGUUGUGAUCUUCCAUAUCCUUAUUUGACUAACAGAAGCCAUGGAGAAUUCCCCAUGGCAAUGCCUUUCAUUUUUGGGAGAUUUUGGUAAAGGGUCAGCGUUAAAUGUUUCUUGAUAACAAGAACACUAAUAACACUAUCAAUCUUCUCAUUUCUUGAUAACAAUAUACAAAAAUUAGCAAAACAAGAACACUAAUAACACUAUCAAUCUUCUCAUUUCUUGAUAACAAUAUACAAAAUUUAGCAAAACAAGAACACUAAUAACACUAUCAAUCUUCUCAUUUCUUGAUAACAAUAUACAAAAAUUAGCAAAACAAGAACACUAAUAACACUAUCAAUCUUCUCAUUUCUUAAUAACAAUUUACAAAAUUUAGCAAAACAAGAACACUAAUAACACUAUCAAUCUUUUCAUUUCUUCAUAACAAUAUACAGGUAAGUAUGCUAAGAAAAAAGAAGCAAAAAAAUAACUCACGCAAUAGAGUCCUAAAGAUGUGCGUACGGAUAUAGGAAGCAGCGGUGUGGCCUUUGAAGCCAUCAUAAAUUCCAACGAACUGUGCGUCAUGGCUUACAUCGUCCUAGUUGUGACCUUCCAUAUCCUUAUUUAACUAACAGAAGCCAUGGAGAAUUCCCCAUGGCAAUGCCUUUCAUUUUUGGGAGAUUUUGAUAAAGGGCCAGCGUUAAAUGUUUCUUGAUAACAAGAACACUAAUAACACUAUCAAUCUUCUCAUUUCUUGAUAACAAUAUACAAAAUUUAGCAAAACAAGAACACUAAUAACACUAUCAAUCUUCUCAUUUCUUGAUAACAAUAUACAAAAUUUAGCAAAACAAGAACACUAAUAACACUAUCAAUCUUCUCAUUUCUUGAUAACAAUAUACAAAAUUUAGCAAAACAAGAACACUAAUAACACUAUCAAUCUUCUCAUUUCUUGAUAACAAUAUACAAAAUUUAGCAAAACAAGAACACUAAUAACACUAUCAAUCUUCUCAUUUCUUGAUAACAAUAUACAAAAUUUAGCAAAACAAGAACACUAAUAACACUAUCAAUCUUCUCAUUUCUUGAUAACAAUAUACAAAAUUUAGCAAAACAAGAACACUAAUAACACUAUCAAUCUUCUCAUUUCUUGAUAACAAUAUACAAAAUUUAGCAAAACAAGAACACUAAUAACACUAUCAAUCUUCUCAUUUCUUGAUAACAAUAUACAAAAUUUAGCAAAACAAGAACACUAAUAACACUAUCAAUCUUCUCAUUUCUUGAUAACAAUAUACAAAAUUUAGCAAAACAAGAACACUAAUAACACUAUCAAUCUUCUCAUUUCUUGAUAACAAUAUACAAAAUUUAGCAAAACAAGAACACUAAUAACACUAUCAAUCUUCUCAUUUCUUGAUAACAAUAUACAAAAUUUAGCAAAACAAGAACACUAAUAACACUAUCAAUCUUCUCAUUUCUUGAUAACAAUAUACAAAAUUUAGCAAAACAAGAACACUAAUAACACUAUCAAUCUUCUCAUUUCUUGAUAACAAUAUACAAAAUUUAGCAAAACAAGAACACUAAUAACACUAUCAAUCUUCUCAUUUCUUGAUAACAAUAUACAAAAUAGAGAGAUCAAAUACAAGAACACUAUAACACUAUCAAUCUCUCAUUUCUUGAUAACAUAUACAAAAUUUAGCAAACAAGAACACUAAUAACACUAUCAUCUUCUCAUUUCUUGAUAACAAUAUACAAAAUUUAGCAAACAAGAACACUAAUAACACUAUCAAUCUUCUCAUUUUCUGAUAACAAUAUACAAAAUUUAGCAAAACAAGAACACUAAUAACAUCUAUCAUCUCCUUAUUCUUGAUAACAAUAUACAAAAUUUAGCAAACAAGAACACUAAUAACAUUAUCAAUCUUCUCAUUUCUUGAUAACAAUAUACAAAAUUUAGCAAAACAAGAACACUAAUAACACUAUCAAUCUUCUCAUUUCUUGAUAACAAUACAAAAUUUAGCAAAAGAACAACUAUAACACUAUCAAUCUUUUCAUUUCUUGAUAACAUAUACAAAUUUAGCAAACAAGAACACUAAUAACACUAUCAUCUUCUAUUUUUGAUACAAAUAUAAAAAUUUAGCAAAACAAGAACACUAAUAACACUAUCAUCUUCUCAUUUCUUGAUAACAAUAUACAAAAUUUAGCAAACAAGAACACUAAAAACACUAUCAAUCUUCUCAUUUCUUGUAACAAUAUACAAAAUUUAGCAAAACAAGAACACUAAUAACACUAUCAAUCUUUCAUUUCUUGAUAACAUUUACAAAAUUUAGCAAAACAAGAACACUAAUAACACUAUCAUCUUUCUCAUUCUUGAUAACAAUAUACAAAUUUUAGCAAAACAAGAACACUAUAACACUAUCAAUCUUCUCAUUUCUUGAUAACAAUAUACAAAAUUUAGCAAACAAGAACACUAUAACACUAUCAAUCUUUUCAUUUCUUGAUAACAAUAUACAAAAUUUAGCAAAACAAGAACACUAAUAACACUAUCAUUCUUCUCAUUUCUUGAUAACAUAUACAAAAUUUAGCAAAACAAGAACACUAAUAACACUAUCAAUCUUCUCAUUUCUUGAAACAAUAUACAAAAUUUAGCAAACAAGAACACUAAUAAACUAUCAAUCUUCUCAUUUCUUGAUAACAAUAUACAAAAUUAGCAAAACAAGAACACAUAAUACACUAUCAAUCUUCUCAUUUCUUGAUAACAAUAUACAAAUUUAGCAAAACAACAACACUAAUAACACUAUCAAUCUUCUCAUUUCUUGAUAACAAUAUACAAAUUUAGCAAAACAAGAACACUAAUAACACUAUCAAUCUUCUCAUUUCUUGAUAACAAUAUACAAAAUUUAGAAAAACAAGAACACUAACAACAUUAUCAAUCUCCUUAUUUCUUGAUAACAAUAUACAAAAUUUAGCAAAACAAGAACACUAAAAACACUAUCAAUCUUAUCAUUUCUUGAUUACAAUAUACAAAAUUUAGCAAAACAAGAACACUACUAACACUAUCAAUCUUCUCAUUUCUUGAUAACAAUAUACAAAAUUUAGCAAAACAAGAACACUAAUAACACUAUCAAUCUUUUCAUUUCUUCAUAACAAUAUACAGGGAAGUAUGCUAAGAAAAAAGAAGCAAAAAAAUAACUCACGUAACAGAGUCCUAAAGAUGUGCGUACGGAUAUAGGAAGCAGCGGUGUGGCCUUUGAAGCCAUCAUAAAUUCCAACGAACAGUGCGUCAUGGCUUACAUCGUCCUAGUUGUGAUCUUCCAUAUCCUUAUUUUACUAACAGAAGCAAUGGAGAAUUCCCCAUGGCAAUGCCUUUCAUUUUUGGGAGAUUUUGGUAAAGGGUCAGCGUUAAAUGUUUCUUGAUAACAAGAACACUAAUAACACUAUCAAUCUUCUCAUUUCUUGAUAAUAAUAUACAAAAAUUAGCAAAACAAGAACACUUAUCAGACUAUCAACCUUCUCAUUUUUUGAUAACAAUAUACAAAAUUUAGCAAAACAAGAACACUAAUAACACUAUCAAUCUUCUCAUUUCUUGACAACAAUAUACAAAAUUUAGCAAAACAAGAACACUAAUAACACUAUCAAUCUUCUCAUUUCUUGAUAACAAUAUACAAAAUUUAGCAAAACAAGAACACUAAUAACACUAUCAAUCUUCUCAUUUCUUGAUAACAAUAUACAAAAUUUAGCAAAACAAGAACACUAGUAACACUAUCAAUCUUCUCAUUUUUUUGAUAACAAUAUACAAAAUUUAGCAAAACAAGAACACUAAUAACACUAUCAAUCUUCUCAUUUCUUGACAACAAUAUACAAAAUUUAGCGAAACAAGAACACUAAUAACACUAUCAAUAUUCUCAUUUCUUGAUAACAAUAUACAAAAUUAGCAAAACAAGAACACUAAUAACACUAUCAAUCUUCUAAUUUCUAGAUAACAAUAUACAAAAUUUUAGCAAAACAACAACACUAAUAACACUAUCAAUCUUCUCAUUUCUUGAUAACAAUAUACAAAUUUAGCAAAACAAGAACACUAAUAACACUAUCAAUCUUCUUAUUUCUUGAUAACAAUAUACAAAAUUUAGCAAAACAAGAACACUAACAACAUUAUCAAUCUCCUUAUUUCUUGAUAACAAUAUACAAAAUUUAGCAAAACAAGAACACUAAAAACACUAUCAAUCUUCUCAUUUCUUGAUAACAAUAUUAACAAAAUUUAGCAAAACAAGAAACACUAAUAACACUAUCAAUUUUCUCAUUUCUUGAUAACAAUAUACAAAUUUAGCAAAACAAGAACACUAAUAACACUAUCAAUCUUCUCAUUCUUGAUAACAAUAUACAAAAUUUAGCAAACAAGAACACUAAUAACACUAUCAAUCUUCUCAUUCUUGAUAACAAUAUACAAAUUUAGCAAAACAAGAACUACUAACACUAUCAAUCUUCUCAUUUCUUGAUAACAAUAUACAAAAUUUAGCAAAACAAGAACAUAAUAACACUAUCAAUCUUCUCAUUUCUUGAUAACAAUAUACAAAAUUAGCAAAACAAGAACAUAAUAACACUAUCAAUCUUCUAUUUCUGUAACAAUAUACAAAAUUUAGCAAAACAAAACACUAAUAACACUAUCAAUCUUCUCAUUUCUUGAUAACAAUAUACAAAUUUAGCAAAACAAGAACACUAAUAACACUAUCAAUCUUCUCAUUUCUUGAUACAAUACAACAAAUUUAGCAAACAAGAACACUAAAACACAUCAUCUCUUAUUUCUUGAUAACAUUACAAAAUUUAGCAAACAAGAACACUAAUAAACUAUCAAUCUUCUCAUUUCUGAUAACAAUAUACAAAUUUAGCAAAACAAGAACACUAUAACACUAUCAAUCUUCUCAUUUCUUAGAAACAAUAUACAAAAUUUAGCAAAACAAGAACACUAAUAACACUUCAAUCUUCUCAUUCUUGAUAACAAUAUACAAAAUUUAGCAAAACAAGAACCACUAAUAACACUAUCAAUCUUCUCAUUUCUUGAUAACAAUAUACAAAAUUUAGCAAAACAAGAACACUAUAACACUAUCAAUCUUCUCAUUUUUUUGAUAACAAUAUACAAAAUUUAGCACAAACAGAACACUAUCUAAUCUUCUCAUUUCUUGAAACAAUAUACAAAAUUUAGCAAAACAAGAACACUAAAACUAUCAAUUUCUCAUUUCUUGAUAACAAUAUACAAAAUUUAGCAAAACAAAGAAACACUAAUAACACUAUCAAUCUUCUCAUUUUCUGAUAACAAUAUACAAAAUUUAGCAAACAAAACACUAAUAACACUAUCAAUCUUCUCAUUUCUUGAUAACAUAUAACAAAUUUAGCAAAAACAAGAACACUAAUAACACUAUCAAUCUUCUAUUUCUUGAUAACAAUAUACAAAAUUUAGCAAAAAACAAGAACACUAACAACUAUCAAUCUCUUAUUUUCUUGAUAACAAUAUACAAAUUUUAGCAAAACAAGAACACUAAUAACACUAUCAAUCUUCUCAUUUCUUGAUAACAAUAUACAAAAUUUAGCAAAACAAGAACACUAAUAACACUAUCAAUCUUCUCAUUUCUUGUAACAAUUACAAAAUUUAGCAAACAAGAACACUAAUAACACUAUAAUCUUCUCAUUUCUAUAACAAUAUACAGUAGUAUUAAGAAAAAAGACGCAAAAAAAUAACUCACUAAUAACCCUAACGAAUGUGCGUACAUAUAGAAAGCAGCGUUCUUAACAUCUAAAUUCCACGAACAGUGCGUCAUGCUUACAUCGUCCUAGUUGUGAUCUUCAUAUCUUAUUUGACUAAAAAGCAUGGAGAAUUCCCAUGCAAUGCUUCUCAUUUUUGAAUUUUUAAAGGGUCAGCGUUAAAUGUUUCUUGAAACAAGAACACUAAUAACACUAUCAAUCUUCUCAUUUCUUGAUAACAAUAUACAAAAAUUAGCAAAACAAAAAACACUAAUAACACUAUCAACCUUCUCAUUUCUUGAUAACAAUUAUACAAUUUAGCAAACAAGACUAUACACUAUCAAUCUUCUCUUUUUGAUAACAAUAUACAAAUUUAGCAAACAAGAACACUAAUACACUAUCAAUCUUCUCAUUUCUUGAAACAAUAUACAAAAUUUAGCAAACAAGAAAAACUAAUAACAUAUCAAUCUUCUCAUUUCUUGAUAACAUAUACAAAAUUUAGCAAAACAAGAAACAUAAUAAACUAUCAAUCUUCUUUUCUUGAUAACAAUAUACAAAAUUUAGCAAAACAAGAACACUAAUAACACUAUCAAUCUUCUCAUUUCUUGAUAACAAUAUACAAAUUUAGCAAAAACAAGAACACUAAUAACACUAUCAUCUUCUCAUUUCUUGAUAACAAUAUACAAAUUUAGCAAAACAAGAACACUAAAACAUUAUCAAUCUCCUUAUUUCUUUAAACAAUAAUCAAAAUUUAGCAAACCAAGAACACUAAAAACACAAAUCAAUCUUCUCAUUUCUUGAUAACAAUAUACAAAAUUUAGAAAAACAAGAACACUAAUAACACUAUCAAUCUUCUCAUUUCUUGAUAACAAUAUACAAAAUUUAGCAAAACAAGAACACUAAUAACACUAUCAAUCUUCUCUUUCAGUACAAUUCCAAACAAGAACACUAAUAACACUAUCAUCUUCUCAUUUCUGAUAACAAUAUACAAAAUUAGCAAAAAACAGAACACUAAUACCACUAUCAACUUCUCAUUUCUUGAUAACAAUAUACAAAAUUUAGCAAAACAAGAACACUAAUAACACUAUCAAUCUUCCUCAUUUCUUGGAUAAAAUAUCCAAAUUUAGCAAAACAAGAACACUAUAACAACUAUCAAUCUUCCUAUUUCUUGAUAACAAUAUACAAAAUUUAGCAAAAGAACACUAAUAACACUAUCAAUCUUCUCAUUUCUUGAUAAAAUAUACAAAAUUUAGCAAAACAAGACACUAAUAACACUAUCAAUCUUCUCAUUUCUUGAUAAAAUAUACAAAAUUUAGCAAAACAAGAACACUAAUAACUAUCAAUCUUCUCAUUUCUUGAUAACAAUAUACAAAAUUUAGCAAAACAAGAACACUAUAACACUAUCAAUCUUCUCAUUUUUGAUAACAAUAUACAAAAUUUAGCAAAACAAGAACACUAAUAACACUAUCAAUCUUCUCAUUUCUUGACAAGAAAUAAAAACUUGAAACAAGAACCUAUAAACACUAUCAAUCUUCUCAUUUCUUGAUAACAAUAUACAAAAUUAGCAAAACAAGAACACUAAACAACAUUAUCAUCUCUUAUUUCUUGAUAACAAUAUAAAAACAAAUUUAGCAAAACAAGAAACACUAAUCAACACUAUCAUUCUUCUCAUUUCUUGAUAACAAUAUACAAAUUAGCAAAACAAGAACACUAAUAACACUAUCAAUCUUCUCAUUUCUUGAUAACAAUAUACAAAAUUUAGCAAAACAAGACACUAAUAACACUAUCAAUCUUCAUUUCUUGAUAACAAUAUACAAAAUUUAGCAAAACAAGCACUAAUAACACUAUAUCUUCUCAUCUUCUAAAUAUACUUUAGCAAAACAAGAACACUAAUAACACUAUCAUCUUCUCAUUUCUUGAUAACAAUAUACAAAUUUAGCAAAAACAGACACUAAUAACACUAUCAAUCUUCUCAUUUCUUGUAACAAUAUACAAAAUUUAGCAAAACAAGAACACUAAUAACACUAUCAAUCUUUCUCAUUUCUUGAUAACAAUAUACAAAAUUUAGCAAACAAGAACACUAAUAACACUAUCAAUCUUCUCAUUUCUGAUAACAAUAUAACAAAUUUAGCAAAACAAGAACACUAAUAACACUAUCAAUCUUUCAUUUCUUGAUAACAAUAUACAAAAUUUAGCAAACAAGAACACUAAUAACACUAUCAAUCUUCUCAUUUUUGUGAACAAUAUACAAAAUUUAGCAAAACAAGAACACUAAUAACACUAUCAAUCUUCUCAUUUCUUGAUAACAAUAUACAAAAUUUAGCAAAACAAGAACACUAAUAACACUAUCAAUCUUCUCAUUUCUUGAUAACAAUAUACAAAAUUAGCAAAACAAGAAACUAAUAACACUAUCAAUCUUCUCAUUUCUUGAUAACAAUAUACAGUAAGUAUGCUAAGAAAAAGAAGCAAAAAAUAACUCACGUAAUAGUCCUAUAAGAUGUGCGUACGAUAUAGGAAGCAGUGUGGCCUUUGAAGCCAUCAUAAAUUCCAACGAACAGUGCGUCAUGGCUUACAUGUCGCUAGUUGUGAUCUUCCAUAUCCUUAUUUUGCUAACAGAAGCAUGGAGAAUUCCCAUGGCAAUGCCUUUCAUUUUUGGGAGAUUUUUGUAAAGGUCAGCGGUUAAAUGUUUCUUGAUAACAGACAUAAUAACACUAUCAAUUUCUCAUUUCUUGUAACAAUAUACAAAAUUAGCAAAAAAGAACACAAUAAACUAUCAACUUCUCAUUUCUGAUAACAAUAUACAAAAUUAGCAAAACAAAACACUAUAACACUAUCAAUCUUCUCAUUUCUUGAUAAAAUUAAAAUUUAGCAAAAUAAGAACACUAAUAACACUAUCAAUCUCUUAUUUUUGAUAACAAUAUACAAAAUUGCAAAAAAGAACUAUCCUCAUCUCCAUUCUUGAUAACAAUAUAAAAUUUAGCAAAACAAAUAAUAACAUAUCAUCUCAUUUCUUGAUAACAAUAUACAAAAUUUAGCAAAACAAGAACACUAAUAACACUAUCAAUCUUCUCAUUUCUUGAUAACAAUAUACAAAUUUAGCAAAACAAGAAACACUAAUAACACUAUCAAUCUUUCAUUCUUAUAACAAUAUACAGAUAAGUAUGCUAAGAAAAAGAAGCAAAAAAUAAUACUCACGAAUAGAGUCCUAAAGAUGUGCGUACGGAUAUAGGAAGCAGCGUGUGGCCUUUGAAGCCAUCAUAAAUUCCAACGAACAGUGCGUCAUGCUUACAUCGAUCCUACGUUGUGAUCUUCCAUAUCCUUAUUUGACUAAAGAGCAUGGAGAAUUCCCCAUGGCAAUGCCUUUCAUUUUGGAGAGAUUUUGUAAAGGGUCAGCGUCAAAGUUUCUUGAUAACAAGAAACACUAAUAACACUAUCAUCUUCUCAUUUCUUGAUACAAUAUACAAAAAUAGCAAACAAAACACUAAUAACACUAUCAACCUUCUCAUUUCUUGAUAACAAUAUACAAAAUUUAGCAAAACAAAGAAACACUAAUAACACUAUCAAUCUUCUCAUUUUUUGAUAACAAUA